GUGUGUGUGUGUGUGUGUGUGGUGGGGAACAUGGGGAUUUUCAAAAAUACAUUUUAGUUUUAUAUUAUUCACAAUUAUAUUAUUUGUUUAUUUAAAUUUUAGAAGCCUUGGUGCUUAAUGGACAAGCUGUGUAGGAACAAAGACUAGUAUGCAGAGGACAUAAAAGGUUUGCUAGAAUGUAUUUACCGGUAAGUGAAUAUCUGUGCACAGAACAUAUAGGAUGUGCAGAUCAGGAGUCAUGCACAAAAAAAUCUUUUCAAAGAUCAAUUAACACCUACUUGCCUGAGUCUUGUAUCAACUUCUAUAUCUCUUUGGCAUCAUGAAAUAUAAUGAUCAUGCAAUGAUAUU
rnacentral:misc_RNA from 1 species